CCCUGAGGUCUUCACUUACUUUGCUUGCUAUCUGAAGCAAUCCUGGAGAAUGGCAUAUGGGGCACAGUAAGGCAAUACCAAUUUUAAGACAGGGUGGCCAGGCCUCACAAACUGAAGAGCUGUUAACCACAAAUAUAAUGGCGAGUGAGACUUGGCUUCGAACCUCAUUGUGGUGAAGGCGGAUGAGCCAGUGUCUUAAAAGUGCUUGUAACCAUCAAAGUGCAACUGAAGCACCCUAGUCCGGAGUUUCAGAAGAAAAGAAGGCAAUUGUUCUUCCAUUCCAGGAAGAAGAGAGGGCAGAAGUAAAGCCAAAUUGAGAUGGAUGACGUCAGCCGGGUGCCUGGAUUCCACCAGCAGCACUCUGCAGCUCAAGAAUAGGAGCAGAGGAAGCAGA